rnacentral:rRNA from 1 species
GACGAACGCUGGCGGCGCGCCUAACACAUGCAAGUCGAACGAGCGAGAGAGAGCUUGCUUUCUUGAGCGAGUGGCGAACGGGUGAGUAACGCGUGAGGAACCUGCCUCAAAGAGGGGGACAACAGUUGGAAACGACUGCUAAUACCGCAUAAGCCCACGACCCGGCAUCGGGAAGAGGGAAAAGGAGCAAUCCGCUUUGAGAUGGCCUCGCGUCCGAUUAGCUAGUUGGUGAGGUAACGGCCCACCAAGGCAACGAUCGGUAGCCGGACUGAGAGGUUGAACGGCCACAUUGGGACUGAGACACGGCCCAGACUCCUACGGGAGGCAGCAGUGGGGAAUAUUGCACAAUGGGGGAAACCCUGAUGCAGCGACGCCGCGUGGAGGAAGAAGGUCUUCGGAUUGUAAACUCCUGUUGUUGAGGAAGAUAAUGACGGUACUCAACAAGGAAGUGACGG